rnacentral:rRNA from 1 species
GGUUAAGCGACUAAGCGUACACGGUGGAUGCCCUGGCAGUCAGAGGCGAUGAAGGACGUGCUAAUCUGCGAAAAGCGUCGGUAAGGUGAUAUGAACCGUUAUAGCCGGCGAUGUCCGAAUGGGGAAACCCAGUGCAAUUCGUUGCACUAUCGUUAACUGAAUACAUAGGUUAACGAGGCGAACCGGGGGAACUGAAACAUCUAAGUACCCCGAGGAAAAGAAAUCAACCGAGAUUCCCCCAGUAGCGGCGAGCGAACGGGGAGCAGCCCAGAGUCUGAAUCAGCUUGUGUGUUAGUGGAACGGUCUGGAAAGUCCGACGGUACAGGGUGAUAGUCCCGUACACCAAAAUGCACAGGUUGUGAACUCGAAGAGUAGGGCGGGACACGUGGUAUCCUGUCUGAAUAUGGGGGGACCAUCCUCCAAGGCUAAAUACUCCUGACUGACCGAUAGUGAACCAGUACCGUGAGGGAAAGGCGAAAAGAACCCCGGCGAGGGGAGUGAAAAAGAACCUGAAACCGUGUACGUACAAGCAGUGGGAGCACCUUCGGGUGUGACUGCGUACCUUUUGUAUAAUGGGUCAGCGACUUAUAUUCUGUAGCAAGGUUAACCGUAUAGGGGAGCCGCAGGGAAACCGAGUCUUAACUGGGCGUUAAGUUGCAGGGUAUAGACCCGAAACCCGGUGAUCUAGCCAUGGGCAGGUUGAAGGUUGGGUAACACUAACUGGAGGACCGAACCGACUAAUGUUGAAAAAUUAGCGGAUGACUUGUGGCUGGGGGUGAAAGGCCAAUCAAACCGGGAGAUAGCUGGUUCUCCCCGAAAGCUAUUUAGGUAGCGCCUCGUGAAUUCAUCUUCGGGGGUAGAGCACUGUUUCGGCUAGGGGGUCAUCCCGACUUACCAACCCGAUGCAAACUACGAAUACCGAAGAAUGUUAUCACGGGAGACACACGGCGGGUGCUAACGUCCGUCGUGAAGAGGGAAACAACCCAGACCGCCAGCUAAGGUCCCAAAGUCAUGGUUAAGUGGGAAACGAUGUGGGAAGGCACAGACAGCCAGGAUGUUGGCUUAGAAGCAGCCAUCAUUUAAAGAAAGCGUAAUAGCUCACUGGUCGAGUCGGCCUGCGCGGAAGAUGUAACGGGGCUAAACCAUGCACCGAAGCUGCGGCAGCGACACUAUGUGUUGUUGGGUAGGGGAGCGUUCUGUAAGCCUGCGAAGGUG